UACAGAGGUCUCAAGCGUUGUUCGGAAUCACUGGGCGUAAAGGGUGCGUAGGCCGCACGGUAAGUCAGAGGUGAAAUCCCGGAGCUCAACUCCGGAAUUGCCUCCGAUACUGCCGUGCUUGAGGACUGGAGAGGAGAUUGGAAUUCACAGUGGAGCAGUGAAAUGCGUAGAUAUUGUGAGGAACACUAGUGGCGAAGGCGAAUCUCUGGACAGUUCCUGACGCUGAGGCACGAAGGCCAGGGGAGCAAACGGG
rnacentral:rRNA from 1 species